CCGCCGCCUCCUCUCCUCACCCUCACUACCUCGCCGCCGGCGCGUCCGGAUCGAGCAGGCGACGGGGUGAGAUACCUCACCAGUCUUGAAACACAGACACGCAACCCACCUCUCAUCGUUUCCUCUCCUCUAGCCCCAUGCCCAUCAUCCCCUCCCCUGCUAUUCGCCGCACCCUGCCCGUGCUCUGUCCCUUCCUCCUCUCUGUCGCUCAACCGGACGAGACUGAACCACCGCAAACGGCAGCAGAGGGAGACGUCGAUGAACACAUCAACCCGAGUGCACAUCGUCGAGGUCCUCACGCCACAGGUUUUUUCACGCCUCCCUUGCAGCCUAUAAGGUGUUUGAUGAAAUGCGAGUAGGCUGCUGGGUUGAUAUCUGCUUGGACAGAACCUUCGGCUAUCAACCAAUGGGGAUGCCAAUACAUUGAAAAUUGGCGAUUUUGGAUUUGCCCGUGACCUACUCCAAGGACAAGUUUAUCCGGGUCUGGGACCUCGACACCCAACACUGCCUUCAAAUUAUUGGUGGCCUGGCCACCACUGCGAGUGGUCGAUGGGUGUUGAUCCUAGCGAGAAAGUUUUGGUGUCUCACUUGGCCGAUGCAGAGCUGCGGGUGUUCAGAAUCAGGCAAUCAGCUGAAGAGGGUGAAGAUUGGAACAAAUGGGAUGCACUUCGUCAUUGAUCUAUUACUUUGAUUGGAUGUGGGAAGGGCUGAUCUGGAAGGCGAGAGACGGAGGCUUGGAUGUGAUCGUUUUUGGAGUGGGUUAUUAAGAAGUUCUACGAAGUUCGCUACAGAUAAUGUGAAUGCCUUUCAAACAUCACUUUUGAAAAGAAAUGUUCAGUUCUUCUAGAUGAUCCUGCUGACAAUUGGUGUUUCAACUCGGAUGGCGAAACCUCAACUUCAGAGUAAACUUACACCUGCUGAUAAUUCACUUGCAGAUUUAUAUGUUUUAGUUUUUAACUGCUUUCGUGGUUUAAAAUAUAUCUAAUACUUCUAUUGAGGUUUUAUAAUCCAGUAUUGUAGGAUAUGUUUUUGUGGACAGGUUUAUUUUGGGAGUCUAAGAAAUUCAAAGGGCGGGGAUGUGUUAAACUUUGUUGUCAGUUCUCUCGUUUAAAAAAAAUACUAACAGGAAGCAAUUAUACUUUGAACGUUAGCUUUCUCGUAUAAAUUACAACACCUUGUGUGGAUACAUAAAUUACAAAUUAGCUGCAUGUCUGAUGGUUCAUAAGAUUGUAAGUUAACAGUUAUUCUAUUUAUAGGGUUGACUCUGCUAGAGAUGAUAAUGUCCUCUUCAACUAAAUUGGGCAGUGUAUAUACAAAAGGACCUGGCUGUCAAUAAUUCUCAUUUGCAAAAAUAGGUGCUCUGGUAAUUUCAGUUUCCAUAUUCUGUGUUACGAUACAUUUAAAUGACUGGAAUGUAUCAAAGUAUAGUAUGGACAUAAUCAGUUAAACUUGGUAAGACUUUGGUUGCGCAACACUUAAAAAUAUAAAUAGAUAAAUUAAUAACAUAAGCCUUGUAUGCUUCUUUGUGAGGAGCACACCGCCAACUCUCUUUUAUUACUUGUCAGUUUCAAUAAUUUCUAGCUUUAUACACAAUAACUGUUUUUUUAUGUACGCAUCUCCAGAAUAGGAGAAUAAAUCUGCCUUUUGUUCCCGACACUCCUUCAUAUUCCAUGUUCUACAUUCUUGCAUAUCACUAUGGGAGCAAUAUUUAGUCAAUCCAGCAAUUAGUAAAAAUAGCAUUGCGUGCAUUUUUUGUCAAUCCAAUUUUACAGAGAUUUUCUUUUGUUCCAUUGUGAGCGGCUGAGCGCUACCCAUGGUACAGAGAUGAUCAGAAAGUUAGCUAUCAUGGUAGUAUCUGUGCUCUUUUGUUCUUUUUUUUUGCCAGAGGUGAUUUGGUUGUGCCUCGUGAUCUCUUUGUUCUGCCCAACAAGCAGUAUUUAUGAUGGCUUGGAUAAUUUCUGUCAAUAAUUUUGCGCCUCUAUGAUUGCAGGACGAUGGAUUUUUAUGUUCCCAUGAAAUUAAGCUUCUUUUUCAGUUAUCAUCUGCUAUGAAUAUUCGUUCCAUCUUAUCUGUUCUGCUAGCUGAAAUUGAUCAUGCUGGAUAACUGCCUUUACUACAUCACAAGUUCUAUUCUUAUGAUAGAUUGUCGAACUAUUUCAUCGAUUUGCUUCAACUCCUAUUGGUCCACCCCAAAACGCAUGCUCUGUAUAGAGAAGCAUGCCGGAUAACUGUAUUUACUGUGUGUAUUUAUACCAAUUUUAACUGACCUGGUUAUUGUCCUAAGCUGAAUAGAGAAGCAUGCAUUGAAGAUACCGAGUUCGCUUUGAAGAUACUGCACGCUUUUGUUUGUGAAAUUUCCUUCAUCAUGUUUCUUUUAGUUAUCUACUCCGCGAGGCAUAUUAAUUUACAAUCUGUACUUUGUGCUUUAUCAAGAAGAUGUAUUUGUAGGUGUUAUGUCAAAAGAUCUAAACUGUAGAUAUAUCAUUUGUUGUGCAGGAUUCCAGAUUAAGUGUCACAAUUUGUAGUUUUGCUCCUUCUGGUGUCCUCUCAUCAUGUUUCUUUUGGUUAUCUGGCAUCCACUGAGCUACUCUGACAUUGACUGCAGUUCUUUUGUUGCUAAAAGAUUAUAUGAAGAAGAAAGAAAAGAGAAUCUACUGGUAGCUGCAUUUGUGCUCUUGUCUAACAGUACCGUUAAGAAUGGAAACCUCAAAGGUAGCAAGGACUAGGAAAUUAUCAUCAAACCGUGGUGUUUCAUCGAGGGCGGUCUUUGUCAACAAUGAGGGUUGAAUUAGAUCUUCACAGAUCAUUACAUCUUUAGGAGUUGCUGCAGAAGAUGAGAUUUCAAAUGGCUUGAAUGAGAAGAGAUGACCGAGUCACAAUUGAUGAGGAAGCUUGAGAGCCUGGGUACCCGAUCUCGUCAAGGUGGUGAGAUGGAGACCUGCUUCCUGCUGUUUUGCUGGUUGAUGCAGUUCCAGGGCCUCAAAGAGCACUUCCAUGCUGAUGACCUCUUCCUCGCCAAGCUCGUCACGGAGUGCGGUGACGUUUAAUCGCCAACGUCCCUUUUAUUUUGAAAUCUGUGCUUAAGUCGGAUCGAGGAAGCUUUUCAUGCUGGGAUGAUGCCAAAGGCUGGGACUUACUGCAUCUACAUGGUUGUGUGUGAUUUGUGCUAUAAGCAAGACUGUCUUGCUUUACUUUUGAACCAGCUACAUUAUAUGGAAUGCACCACCGAAGCAGCUCUACCGUUGGUUGCUACUCUCCCUCUUUAAAUAACAAGCCCUCAUCACUUGCAUGUAACUGUGCUACCCAGACUGCAAAAACCAAGUGAAAAGGAUGCCUGCCAACCUGGCACCGCUCUCAACUUCCUCUCAGGAGGCGCCACAGGUGGCGCCCCAACCGCUAGUCUUGUAUCAAGGCACUUGAGUAAAACGAAACAAUACAAGUACAAAGGAGUGACUUCGCGGAAAUAGAUACUUGCAUCUUUACUUCUUCAGUGUCACUGUUGUGAUCCUAAUUUGUAAAACAUGAGUGCUCACACAGUUCUUAUGUAGCAUCUCUAAACUGCACAUUUUUAGUAUAGCCAUAGGCAACCUAAAAUAAUCCCAAACCUAGAUUUCUAGAUUGCUGCAAGCAUAACAAUUUUUUUAUAAGAUUCUUAUUUAAGGCAUAAUACAUAACUGGUCUACAUAAUAAAGCAGCACAUGUCUAUUUCCAUGGCCAACCGCAAAAGCUAACAAAAUGGAUAGAAGAAUUCUCUUGUGUGGGACGUCUUCAAAAGCAA